GCGAAAGCAAGUCUGAAUAGGGCGUAUAGGUUAGAGGGGGUAGACGCGAAACCUUGUGAUCUACCCAUGACCAGGUUGAAGUUCCGGUAACACGGAAUGGAGGACCGAACUGAUAAGCGUUGAAAAGCUUCCGGAUGAGUUGUGGGUAGGGGUGAAAGGCUAAUCAAACUGGGAAAUAGCUCGUACUCCCCGAAAUGUUUUUAGGAACAGCGUUGAGGUUGAGUCUUAUAGAGGUAGAGCUACUGAUUGGACAAGGGGGCUUCACCGCCUACCAAAUCCUGACAAACUCCGAAUACUAUAAGAUAUACUCAGCAGUGAGCCCAUGGGUGCUAAGGUCCGUGGGCGAGAGGGGAAAAGAACCCCAGACCAACAGCUAAGGUCCCCAAAUCUAUGUUAAGUUGAUCUAAUGAGGUCCGAUUGCUUUGACAGCUAGGAUGUUUGCUUGGAAGCAGCAAUUCAUUUAAAGAGUGCGUAACAGCUCACUAGUCGAGCGAUUGGGCGUAGAUAAUAAUCGGGGC
rnacentral:rRNA from 1 species